rnacentral:misc_RNA from 1 species
GACGUAGGGGGCAAGCGUUGUCCGGAUUUACUGGGCGUAAAGCGCCCGCAGGCGGUUCGGUAAGUCGGGUGUGAAAGCUCCAGGCUCAACCUGGAGAGGCCACCCGAUACUGCCGUGACUUGAGUCCGGUAGGGGAGUGCGGAAUAUCCGGUGUAGCGGUGAAAUGCUUAGAUAUCGGAUGGAACACCAGCAGCGAAGGCGGCACUCUGGGCCGGUACUGACGCUCAUGGGCGAAAGCGUGGGGAGCGAACAGG